UUCAAAAAUAGAAAGCUCUACCCUUGAACUAUGAACUCUGCGAAGUUUUAAAGCCUUUACAUCUGGAAUCUUGAAAUAUGAACUAGAAAAAUUUGAAAACUAGCAAACAAUUACUUUCUGAUGAGCUCAAGCUUUCUAAUGGUGCUAACACAAGCCCGUGUAGAUCAAGGCUAAAGAAGGAAGCAAGAGGCUCUCUUAAUGCUGUCUCCAACCUAAAUUCCCAAUAGAAGGGUAUGUGGAGCAAUAUAAACGAGACGGUGUGAUGUGAUGAGGUAGAGGAGACCACGAUGAGUACAGAGGACCUAUGUAGCUACUUCCGCCUACUUACAAGCAGAAACUCACCAACAGAGUGAUGAGGAUCAACUGCAAGACGGAGACAGAGUCUCACUACGUAACCAUGGCU